rnacentral:rRNA from 1 species
AUACAGAGGGUGCAAGCGUUAAUCGGAAUUACUGGGCGUAAAACGCGCGUAGGCGGUUUGUUAAGUUGGAUGUGAAAGCCCCGGGCUUAACCUGGGAGGGUCAUUCAAAACUGGCAGACUAGAGUGUGGUAGAGGGUAGUGGAAUUCCUAGUGUAGCGGUGAAAUGCGUAGAGAUUAGGAGGAACACCAGUGGCGAAGGCGACUGCCUGGACCAACACUGACGCUGAGGUGCGAAAGCGUGGGUAGCGAACAGGAUUAGAAACCCCGGUAGUCC